rnacentral:rRNA from 1 species
AACGAACGCUGGCGGCGCGCCUAACACAUGCAAGUCGAACGAGAAGGCGUAGCAAUACGCUUGUAGAGUGGCGAACGGGUGAGUAAUACGUGGGUGACCUACCCUCGAGUGGGGAAUAACCCGCCGAAAGGCGGGCUAAUGCCGCGUACGCUUCCGUCCUCACGGGGACGGAAGGAAAGCUGUACCGUGGGUACGGCGCUCAAGGAUGGGCUCACGUCCUAUCAGCUUGUUGGUAGGGUAACGGCCUACCAAGGCUACGACGGGUAGCUGGUCUGAGAGGACGAUCAGCCACACUGGCACUGCGACACGGGCCAGACUCCUACGUGGA